AUUGAGAGCUGCGCUAGGCGCCAUCCAACAGUCGCCGUCGCUUAAGUCGUAGUUUGCCAACAAAGCGAAACAAAAGCAAAGGUUGCCCGCCCGGCCGGCCCGCAUUUUUCCAACCUCGGCCACUCGCCCGUUGCGCGUCUCCAGCGUCAAACCCACCGCUUCUCCACUCUCCCACGAGAUGCCAAGAACCCGAGAAGUCUUCCAACAUGGACGCCACCUCCGUUCUCCUCCGCCGGAGCCCGGUCCCCGCCGCGCCUUGCUCUCUCCGGCGGUCCUUGUCCAAAGCGGUACAGGGGCUUCGGCCAAGAUCUCGAGCUGUAGCGGCGGUCGCGGUGUACUUGCCCACUCCUGCGGAUGGAGAGUCUCGGAUUGCUCACAGUGGAUAGUUUUUUUCUUUCUUUUUGCCCUUUCUGAAUGCUUUCUAUCUACGUCGGUGCAGAUGAAUUAGGGAAUCUUUUUUGCCUGCUCUUCACAUGUCACAUCGGAUUGAUCUUUAUUCACAGAUUUUCUUGAAAUAUUAGUGCGUGCGUGUGUGUAUAAUGUUGCUUUCGUAUGUGGCAGACUGGUCUUCUGCCAAGAACACCUCUGUUUCUUGACGUUCCUCCCCCAUUAGAAGAAAAUGCUGGACGAGGCAUUGCACAGACCUUGGUUUACUAGGUUUGGAGCUUGGUGUGGAUGAUAAUAUAUAUGCCGAUUCACAAAGGAAUCCAAAAACUUUUUUUGGAAAUUUAAAAAUUUCUUGGAUGAGCAGGGAAGAAAAGGUUGUCAACUGGUUCCAGAUUUCUAUAAUGAAUUAUCUGGCACUUCAUGGGUGGGCAUGAGCUAAUAUUGGGGAACACCUUCAUAGCUGGAAAAAAUCCAGCUCCUUCAGAUACCGAGGUUCCUCCUCAGUUAGCUCGUGAUGCUUACAUAUUAAGAUAAAUAUGCUGCUCUAUGAGCUGGAUUCAAGCAUUUUAAUUGGGGGAGGGAUUUACUGUGCUGAAUUGCUUAAAAUGCUAAAGCUCUAAUCAAUAUCUGUACUAAGGGUUACUUGACGAUGUUUGAUGCAAGAUGGAGUUGGGCCAAGUGGUGAGCUAUCCUUGGAAUCCAAUGGCGUUUAUACAUGCAACACUGGCUAUCUGAACUUUUCAGAUUUUGAUAUAAAUAAAAAGGAUAAAAUUUUUGGAAAUUCUUUGAACUGUGUUUUGUACCAGCCAGAGGAGGUCUUUCCAGUAAAUAGUGGAUUCUUGCUGACAAUUAUUACUUUGCACUCACAAAGAAAUAGAGGUGAUAUUUAUGGAUCU